rnacentral:sRNA from 1 species
UAACCACUGACUCUAUGCACAAUAACUGC